ACUGAUCGAUGGGCCAGAUAUGCCCAUAUAUAUAUGAAACUAAUGAAAUGGGUAGUAGCCUGAUUUGAAGAGAAAAAAUUGUGGUACAUGCGUGCGUGCCUAUGUAGCCGGCUGAGACGUCGCCUGUGAUGUCCAGUUGCAAGUGUGUCCGUCCAUCCUUCUAUAUCAAUAUCAAUAAAUGUUAUAUACAACUGCUUAUUUAGGGUAAUGUUAUACAUUUGUGGUUGUGCAUUAGACAUAUAAAUUUGAUAUGCGCCCCAUUACUGGGCUCCGCAGCUUUGCCGAGUGCCCAGAGAACUCUACAAAUGCAGGAAACAACUCGACAAUAUUUUGCCGAGUUCUGCACCGGGCGAACAAGACUCGGCCACGAACAUGUUGGUAAUGAGCUACUUUUCCGAGUGCUUAUCAUCAGAAAACUCAGCAAAGAGUCACUCUUUGCCGAGUUUCGCCAUGUGUCAACUUGGCAAACUUCCACCAUAGACGGAGGGGGAGUGGCCCAUUAACGGCCGCACCACGCCACACUAACUUUCCUGCGUGCUCCCGGCUCGUACUCAACAUUGUGUCCGGCUGGUUUGUAGAGUUUUCCUAGAAGCCUUGUAAGGAAACUAGUCAAAUAUGGGUCAAAACCAUGCAGAGUGGCGAACUCGGUAAAUGCCUUUCAAGCACACAAACAGUGUCCUCCUCACUACCGAGUUUCUUCCUAAGGAUUUCUCCAGAAGCUAGCAGGCGUUGACAAUUGGUAUGCUAGAGUGCAACACUCUGUAAAUGGUCAAUCAUGUUUUGUUUUCAAUUUAUUUUUCGGACCAUCCCUCCAUAGAAAUCACUAUAUAUGUGCAUAAUUUGGGCAAUGAAAGGAUCUUACAAGUGAUGGGUUAUUCUAUUUUUCGGAAAAUCAGUGGGCGCAUGGUGAUGGUAGCUUGGAUCGUUACCAUGAUCGUUACCAUGAUAGUUACCAAUUUCUUGUCAUCUGGAGAAGUAGAAGUAAGAUUAGGCCGAUGUACAAUCCUUGGAAACUCAUUCAACUAAAAAUUACAAAUUCUCAUAAAAUACACAUACUUCUCUAACAUAUCAUCAUCAAAUAUCUAAACGAACCGAAUUGUAUUAUCAACAUAAAAAACCAGGCAAGCAAUGCAAAAUCAUUACUCGUUACCAACAAUAAGUGGCUUGCCUGUCAUUUCUUUCCUCUUCCUCUUCAAUCCAAUGCAGGACUCGGUAUGUAAUUUGUUGUAGUACUCAAAAGUUUAGAAAUUUUGCUGAUAAUCGCACCAUGGUAAUGGAAAAUUAAAGCAAACCAUCCACCAUGAAUUUAGAACUAUGGCUUGCCUCCUCGUAGAGCAUUUCUAUGACAUUCUUAGAUCAUACUAGAGCAUCCCUGGUUUUUUGAUAAAAGGGUGAAUUUUAUUAACUUAUAAUGUCACACCAAAUCGUUUAUCCACUUUCUCAGCCAAUUUGUGUUUCUGACAAUUGGUCGGCCCAAUUAAGGAGAGAAUUCCUAGAUCUGCCGGCGUGGCGUGUUUAGACAUCGCACAGGGGAGCUUCUAUAUGACGCAUUUUGCGACAAAUAGGGACCGAAACAUAAGUUAGACCAAGACAAGGCCGGGUCACUUAGCACGACUAUAGCAACCAUCACACUGUAACAUCCGGUGCGCUUUCGCGGCAUACACUGUAGCGACCCGGUCACCGUAGAAACUGGUUAUUUUAGGUGGUUUUAUGAAUUUCAGUUUUUUAAAGAUGAACAUUUCGUAAAAGGCGAACAAUGUUUUAAAACAUUAAAUAAUUUUUUAAUUGGGAUGUUUUAUUAAAAAUGCAAACAUUUUCUAAAAUUCAAGAAAGUUUUGUAAAAUACCGGAGCAUUUUCUAAAAUGCUAACAUUUUUAAUAUUUUAAAAUUAUCAAGAAAAAUAUUUUAAAACAUUAAUUUCUUUUGAGAAUCUCAAAACAAUUAUUAAAAAAAGUUUCGAACAUUUGAAAUUCUUAAGGCUUUUUUGAAAAUUCCCGAAUUUUUUAAGAAGGAAUUAUUUUUCAAAUAAAGUAAAAUAAAUAAAUAUAUAACCAAAGAAACAGCAGGAAGGACCAACAAGAAAGAAAAUACAAAAAUAUUCUUGCCGCUGCUCGUAGAUCCGCCCUGCUUUUCUUUUGACAGGGCAAUCCAUUGCGCCUUUGUCAGCAUCAGGUGCUCACUCGCCUCCGCAUCGCCGAAGCUGAGACGAAUUAUCUCGUCGUGAGCCUUGAACCUUCCGACGAGAUCCUCAACCGUGAGAGUUUUCAGGUCGAGACAUUGCUCGAUCAAUGUGAAAAUCUGGAUGUAGCGUGCUGGCACGGCGCGCAAAAAUCGUCGGACGAUCGCAACUUCUUCUAGGGUUGAACUAUAGCUACGUAUGCCGUUGACGAGGGUCUUGAGACGGACGGCAAACUGAUCAACCGUCUCACUGUCAUCCAUCUUUAGGCACUCGUAGCUUCUCAUCAGGCACUAAAGGUGUGCUUUCUUGACACGGUCAUGACCCUGGUGCAGGAUGUUGAUGGUCUCCCAUGCCUCCUUCGCCGAGUUCUUUCCGACAAGGUGUUGCGGCACAUCCUUCGGCAUGGCGGAGUAGAUCGCCGUUAACGCCUGACGAUCCUUCCGGUACUUUGUCGCGCCCUUCGCGUACUCGGCGCCGCCGGGGUCGACGGCUUCCCAGUACUUAGCUCCCUCCAUCGCGACCUCCAUGUUGAUCGCCCAUAGUGCGUAGUCCUCUCGAUCCAGAGGGGGGAAUUGUGAUCCCCCCACCAUUGGCAUUGGUGCUCCCGCUGCCACCGUCACGAUCUCCUUGCUUGUGUUCGACAUGAUCCUUCGGCUGUUUUUUGAGAAUCACGCCAAUACACCAAAGCUCUGAUAUCAAUUGUUGGCACAUGCCCGGCCUCGACGCUGCGAUCCGCCGUGUACUUUCCGGUGAGACGCACGUACAAGACUAGCUCGAAUACUUUCCGAGCUAACCAGUUGGAGAUGUAGACGUAGACGAUGGUCAGGUGUACGUAUACACCAAAGCAACCAAGCUGCCUAGCUGCUGGAUCGAUUUUCCAUUCAAGCCUAUACACUCACGUAUGAGACUACAAGCCGCCGGCUUGCCUGAUCGAUACGAGCUAGUUUCAUCAAUACACAAACGGGUACACGGGACGCCGAUGGAUCGCAACAGGAGCGUGUCGCUCCUGGGAUUUUAUUUCUUUCGUUCUGGGUUUGGUACAAGUUGAGUUAUAAACGGUACUACUUACAGAUAUAUAUAGUACUACUAAUUAACCUAUACAUAUCCAACUCGGGCACAAUUCCAAGCCCGUACGGGACUGGAUGUCCUAAUCGUGAUUAUUUCCAACAGUAACGACGUAAAAAAUCAUCGCCAUUGCCAGGAAUAACCACUCGGGUCUGUCCUAGGCUUUCGUCCCGGAGCUCGAGACUGGGUGCACAGUAGAGCACCACCAUCCAAAUCUCACAUGUGUUGUCUCCACCGCUUUUCCCUUAUCCGAGCAGCUACAAUUGGAUCGCCGCUACUCCACAAACAACCCUCUGCGUCAAGUCUUUGUUCAUAAUUUGUAACCCACCAAUGAAGUCAUCCACCGGAUCAGGAGAUAAAACCUCCCGAAAUCUUUUUGAUGAUGUCGUGGAUCCGUAUGAAGUUGUUGCAGAACAAUCUACAUACGCCACCAUCCGGCCAAUUGGAUGUAAAUCACCUCAUCCAUCCGGCACAUCAUCGCAGCCCCAGCAAUCCACAGACCGUGUGGCCGGAGCAAUGCCAAGACUACCGUUGCCUCAACGACCGCCACGCCGGAGCCACCACCAUAGAUCGAGGGAGAUGGGCGCUACCAGAAACAAGGGCCGCCAUGCAUAGGCAAAUUUGCGAUGGCCGCAGUUAGGUUGGAUCUUGGAAGACUCCAUCCGAAACCAGCCGCCGCAGACCACGAUGCCAUCUUGGAGAGGAGGUCAGGGGCGCGCGCAGCAAGCUAGGGAAUCGAUCUGCCCCGUCGCCACCAUCCGCCAUCGCAGGACCUUGCCGCCGCCGCACCCAGCGCCGCCCACACGGCCACCUCGGCAGCACCACCACCAGCACCUGGGGACGCCGCCCCGGCUCCCAAGCAUAUCAUGUUGCGCCUGCAGGUGGAAGGCCGUGGCGUAAAACUCCGGCUCCCAUAGCGAACGGGUUGGGAGGUAGUCGCGCCUGCAUUCGAAAUUAUCCCUGCAUAGGCAACAACGGGUCACCGCGGCCGCCGAUUCCUUCUACUCCUCCUGGUCCUGGCAGCCGGACGUAAUACAGCUUUGCUAAUUCCUGCUUCUGCGUUGCGCAGCAGGCCAGCCGCAGACAAUUCACCGUUUACUACCCAUGUUAGCCUUAUCUGAACAGACAACACUAUAUUCAGAAUAGUACAUAAGAACAUUCAUUCGCAAUAAAUUUUAGAAUUUCCAAAUAUUUUGUUGAGUUUCAAGUGAAUGUUUCGAACUGAGUAGUGAAAUAGAGUGAUUUCGGCUCUGGGUGAAAUCUUUCUAGAACUGAAAUUGUUAAUGUUAAUGAUCGGAAGUGCAUAUGCUCAGGAUAUGGAGCAUGGACCACAAAUAAUGUGUUUAUGCACGUUGCUUCAGCAUUUUUUUAUAUAAUGAAUAAGAAUGUAAAAAGAUAAUAAAAUUCCGGAAUCAUUAAUGAAGUUUGUUCAACUGACCAUAAAAAAUGUAUUCCUACAUAAAAAUGUGUUGGAGCAUAAUGUCUCAUCCAUCCGACCCAAUUUGUGAAGAAAAAUGAAAAGGAGAAAGGAAUGUCUCUGCAUGUCGGUAAUCCCCAUCCCUCCUCCCCACCAACCACGUACACACACACACGGCACACGACACUUGUUUGAAAUACGAAGUGCAGGGUCAAUCAUCCGAGGAAGAACAAUCACAUCUCAAAAUCGAUAUUUGUUGAUGAGGUUCAACAUGAAUGACGGGGCUACGCCCGCAGGGUGGCUCACCAAGACGGACCAGACAGGAGGCCUGGCAAGAGCCUAUAAGGGCCAGGCAACGGGAUGAAUGACUUAUGAGCAUCUUUCCCUCCAAGUCAUGAAGACCGGCAGCCUAGAUCACAUCUCCUCCAUGUAAACCCUAACCUUCACCGCCUAUAUAAGGGGAGCUUAGUACACAGUAUUGUGCUUCCUCGUACAAGGUAUCCCACCGCCAUCAAUAACAAGAAGAAGCAAAAUGUAGGGGUAUUACUCUCCGGAGGCAUGAACCUGGGUAACUUGUGCAUGCAGGCUCCGUUGCCGUACUUUUGAUCUCGUCAGGAACCCUAACGAAGGAUCUGGCGGUUUUCUGCAGUGUCAGUUGGCGCGCCAGGCACGAGCGACGUUGGUCGGAGACCUAAUUCGGGGCAGAGAUCCAGAUGAGCUCGGCAAAUUCAUGUCGGUCCAAACCUUUACCUUCAGCUCUUUCGAGGUGGCGGUCGACGGCUCAGGGCGGCACUUCGACAUCACACCCCCACUUUUCAUUGACUAUAUGUGUUUUGGGACAAUCGAGUUCAUCUCAACGAACAAGGGGAAAACGUGGCGGGCUACCUCGGGUUGAACUGUAUCGUAAAGAGAUAUGCAUGAGCUACCACCCACUCAGAGAUAGCUAGGUCUUCUUCAACCUACCGGGCCCUCCCAGACGUCCACUAUAAAUAGGAUCUUCUGAGGAAUAGAGACGCGCCGGAACCAAAAGCUCACGUGAUCUACGCUGCGGAGCCAGUGCCCAACGAAACCGGACAAUUUGCAUCCCCAACUACCGAAACCGGACAAGGUUCAUCCCUGGUCCCGAUUUUGGCCGGUUUUGGUGCUAGCUCACCCGGAUUAUGACCGGUGCUGACUCAAAUUCGCGUAAUUUUUUCAUAUCCAUGAACUUUUUAAAAUUCACAUACUCUUUUCAAAUCCAUGUAGUUAUUUCGAGGUCGCGUAAUUUUUUAAAAAGUAAACAUACUUUCUUCAAAUAUGUGAACUAUUUUAAUAUUUGCGCACAUUUUUCAAAUCUGUGAUCUUUUAAAUUUGCAUAAUUUUUUCGAAUCUGCGUAUUUUUUCCAUGUUCGUUUAAUUUUACCAAAUCUGAGUAUUUUUUUUCAAAUCAAUAAACUAUUUUGAAAUUCGCGUCCUUGUUUCAAAUCCGCAUACUUUUUAAAGUUCACGUACCUUUACCAAAUCCAUGUUCCUUUUUCAAUCCAUGAACUUUGUUUUAAAUUCACGUACUUGUGUCAAGUUGAGAUAAUUUUAUCAAUUAAAAAUAUUUUUUCUAAUUUGCGUAAAAAAAAUCCAAAUCAGCGUACAUUUUUCAAGCCCACAUAAAAUUUUGAAAUUCAUGAACCCUUUCCAAAAAAAUAUACGUGGCUAUGAAAAUUACAUGAAUUUCUAAAAAGUACAUGGAUUUAAAAAAAGUACGUGAACUCGGAAAAAGUACGCCAAUUUGAAAAAAGUACACUAAUUUUUAAAAUGUCCGCGUCUAUGAUAAAAAUACCCGAAUUUGAAGACAUUAAACAGACUUUGAAAAAGUAUGUGAAUUCAAGUCAGCAUACUUUUUCAAAACCGGUCAAAACCGUGGCCAGGGAUGAAUCUUGCCCGGUUUCAGUAGUUCAGGGUGUAAAUUGUCCAGUUUUAGAGUUAAGGGACCAAAUCUAGACUUCACCAAAAAUUAAGGGUCAGAAAGUAUAUUUUUCUUUAAAUAAUAUUGCCAUGCCGGCCGAUUUGUGUACAUGCAGAUGCUGCAAACGGACACCAUCAGGGGCAGUGGCGGAUCCAGGACCCAGGCCGGGGGGGGCCUGGGCCCUGGGCGUGAGGAUGAAUCACUUCGUUGCAUGUAGCAUAUUUGUGCACUGUAGCAGCACUGUAUCCGUACUGUAGCAGCAUGGGCCCUGGGUUUGGCCCAAUCCUGGGUCCGCCCCUGAUCAGGGGAAUGGUCCUCCGCCGCCCAAGGGCGCAGGCUGGCCGCACCAGCAGACGAAUGGCCUAAGCUGUGGCGACCUCGUGGCUCCUCCGUCACUGAUGCCUCCCGUUGCAUCCAUGCAAUAGCAGAGAAAAUUGAGAUAAAAUAGUACAUUGAUGGUUGAAUAUACAAGAUAAAUAAGCAUUUUAUCGUAUGAAAUUGUGAUGCAAAAUACAUGCAUUGGCCAUCAUUCUCACUAUCAUUGUAUUCUCAAUGUUCAUUGAUCCUUCCCUGUACUUCUAAUUCACAACCAUGGAGUACAUUUUCAUAUAUUCUUAUUUAAUAUUGCAUUGCACAUACCUAUUGUUUCUAUAGCAGAUAAUUAAAAAUUUAAUAGGAGUACCACAUAAAUAUAUUUAGAAGGCAAAUAGAGUAUAUAAUUAAUAUUGGUCUCUACGGGCGCGCCCUGCUAGUUUCCGCCCGUCAGCCCCGCACUAUAAAUAUGCCAAGGCCCAGCCCCAUCCGGCACAAGAGGCAGUAAUGACAUCCUCCUCUAUUGCCGUCGAGGCUACUCUGCUCCUCUUCAUCCUCGUCGCCCAUGCCCAUGGCUGCGGUGCCAGGAACCACGCGCCUCGUCCUUCCCCGGCCACCAAAAAGCCUCCCUACAUGGCCACUCCUCCUGCGGCCAAUUCCAGCUGGCUCGACGCCAAGGCGACAUGGUACGGCGCGCGCCACGGUGCUGGGCCCGACGACAAUGGUGGCGCGUGCGGGUUCAAGAACGUCAACUUGCCGCCCUUCUCUGCCAUGACCUCCUGCAGCAAUGAGCCGCUCUUCAAGGACGGCAAGGGCUGCGGCUCGUGCUACCAGGUAUGACCCCGACCGCCCUACUUUAUUACUACUCCCUCCAUUCCUUUAUAUAAGUCUUUGUAGAGAUUUCAUUAUGGAUCACAUAUGCUAUAUACAUCACUAUGUGGUCCAUAGUGAAAUAUGCGCUAUAUACAUCUAUAUGUGGUCCAUAGUGAAAUUUCUACAAAAGACUUUUAUUUAGGACCGGGGAGUACUACAAACUGCAUGCAUACCACUACAUUAUGGUCACAUGCAUGCAUGCAUGCAGAGAUAUUCUACAUACUUUUUUUUUCUUUGCGAAUGUGUAUGUUCAGCCUAACAUUGUAAUGGAUAAUGGACGGUGGUCGAUCACGUGCAACGUAAAUGCAGAUAAGAUGCUUAAGGUCAAACCACCCUGCGUGCUCCGGUGUUCCGGAGACGGUGAUCAUCACGGACAUGAACUACUAUCCGGUCUCUCCCUACCACUUCGACCUCAGCGGCACUGCCUUUGGAGCCAUGGCCAAGGGUGGCCGCAACGAUGAGCUCCGCAAUGCGGGAAUCAUUGACAUGCAGUUCCGGAGGUACCACACCCACCUACCUAUUAUGCGAGUCACAAUCAUGGGCGUCGUCUUAUCUUAUCAAGAUGAUAUUUUUUUUGUUUGGGAGAUGACACACACUGAUGGCGAGUGGUAUGGCUCUGCAGGGUGCCGUGCCAGUACCCGGGGUUGGCGGUGAUGUUCCACGUGGAGAAGGGGUCGAACCCAUUCUACAUGGCAAUCCUGGUGGAAUACGAGAACGGCGACGGCGAUGUGAAACUGCUAGAAAUCAUGGAGUCACGGCCGGAUGCUGGCAACAGCAGUGAGAUGGCUCCCACUGGGGAGUGGAUGCCCAUGAAGGAGUCGUGGGGUUCCAUCUGGAGGAUGGAUGCCCGGCACCGCAUGCAGGGGCCAUUCUCGUUGCGCAUCACUAACGAGUCUGGCAAGAUGCUCGUCGCCGACCAGGUCAUCUCUGGAAGCCUGAAAAAGUCUACAGCUCCGUCAUCCAGUUUGAUUAAUUGAUGGAUCAGCCAUUUAUGUGAUGUCAAUAUAUAUGAUGCAUUGACUUUAUAUGUAUUCUAUAUGAAAGCAAUGGAAAGAGGAGUAGGGUUAUGUAAUGACCUCAUGAGACGGGCUUUAAAAUUAUGGGAAGAUUCACAAAAAUAAGAAGCAUCAUAACAUUCAAAGGCUGGCUAGGUUGUACGAUUCCUUCUCUUUCAGUAGGUGCCGGCUGAAAGAACUGGUUUCGAAAAAAGAUCAGAAAUCUCGGCAUUUUACAGGCUGAAAAAUUCAAACAAAAUUUGACCUCACAAUAUAAUUCUCCUGCGCUAAUAUCUACUUAAAUAUUUUCAUGUUUUUGUGGUCAGUGCUGCACUUCACCUCCAGGGCAUCAUGGGGUCGAGUCCCUCUUUCUGCAGCUCAAUUUGUGCUUUUUUGUCAUCCUCAAUGGAGCAAAGAGCAGAGCCAAAAAGAAGAAUAGCAUAGACUGGAUUCGACCCCGCAAACUCACACAUGCUCAGAAUAGACAAGAAGCAGCACACCCCUCAGUGAUAUACAUUUACAUAAUCAUACGGAUUGUAUUUGACACUGUUGUACAAUUCAAAUUCAAAAUAUUCAUAAAAAUCAAAUGGUAGUACUUUUUUUCGGGAAGCAGUGGAAGAGCGGGCAACUGGCCGAUUUCCGUAAUUCUCGACCAGAAAAAAAUCCUUGCUCCACGGUAUGUUUUCCUUCAUCAGUUUAUUUAGACUACAACUUGAUUAGAAACUAUUGAGAGAGAGAGAGAGAGUGACAGAGAGAGAACGGGAGAGAGAGAGAGCCGGAAGACCUAGCAGGUUGCAGCCAACGUCGACCCUUCCGCAUGAAGCACCUCCGGUAGAUAUUCUGCAUGCGAUAUACCAUGUGGAGUAUAUCGUUAUGUAGUUACAUGUACGAUCAAUGGUUUGUGCCAAAGAUUUAAAAUAAAGGAUCAGCUACCGUACGUACGCACGCCCAUUGAGGUUGAUUUUAUGUGGAUCUUUGUUGUCCUGGCCGGACUGUGUUGCUGCGCGUGGCGCUUGUGCAUAAUAAGGAUCGAACCAACUCACGAAAACCUGAAGCUGCGACCGGCACAUGCAUCCUUUUCGGGAGCAAGUACAUGUUUUUUUUAACAAGGAGCUCAUGUGCAUUUUCAUUAAACAAUCUGAACAAAGUUUUCGUUGAACUAAACCUGAUGACUGGAUAUAAUGAGUUGGCGCAGGCCUAGUUAGAUAAUGGGCAUCAAGCCUGACAAGAUGUAAUGGACUGGCACGGGCAUGGCUCGGCACAAAAGAGGCCUGAAUAGGCCUGAACACACUACUUGGUGGCAGACGGCCGCCAUGAAGGAGGAGGCGCCCUCCACUGUGAUUGCCAGCGAACAUGGCUGCCACCAUCAUUACCAUGGUCGCGACGUGGGAACCAUCUCCUUGUGCACCAGGACGGCGACUGACAAGGCGGCAGUUGAGGAGGAGCUCAAUGAGACGCGUCGGGCGGCCUACGCGAUGUCGGAUGUGGUGCUGGAUUGGGCGUGCGCUGAGUCGUCGACACAGACCUCUUUUUGGCCUGGAUUGGACACUACGCAGAUGAACGCCCGCCGCCGGCACCAGAUCAGCAAGCAACUCCACAAACUGGGGCAAGACGAUUCCGGGUGUUUGGCCCAAUACCCCACCGGUAAGGGCAAGGGCAAGGGCGGGCGGCACGGGCUGAACUGCAUAUCCGGCACUCGUUGCCACCGGACACGAGCGAUCAUUUGUGUGAGGUAGAGUGGUUGCGUUCAUCGGUUAUUGAAAAGUAUUCAUGUAUCUUAAAAAGGGCUCUUCGAGAAUUAAAAAAUGUCCAUCAUAUUUUAUUUUAAUAUGUAUUUAAAAAAAUGCUCAUCAUGUAUUAAUAACUGUUUGUCAUAUAGUUUUUCAUUAAACUUAUAGACAAUGGUAUUUAAUGAAAUGCCCAGUGUCUACUUAAAAAUAUUCAUUGUGUAUUUAUUUAAAUUUUCAUUGAGUAUAAUGAAAAAAAUCAUCAUGUAUUUAAAGUAUUCAUGUAUAUUAAAAAAGUAUUCUUUGAGAAUUUAAAAAUGUUCAUCAUGUUUUUCGAAAAUGUUCAACUUGUAUUAAAAAAGUUCACGGCUAUGUCCAUAUUAUUUGAACACAUCCUCGGCCCCUGAAAUGAAAUCGGAUGGCGAUGACCCAAACAUCAAAUUUGUUCAUUUCGACCAAAUGGUGACUUUCGAUAUUGGACACGUUUUUAUUUGAGUCCAUCUUAAUUAUUUUUUUAUUCCAUGCCAAAAACUGGUGGCAACAGCUAGGUCACUACAUAGGGGCCUAUGCGCGGAAUAGGAUUCCCCAAACAUCAACGUUGUUCAUUUCGACCAUGCAGUGUUUGCUUUCUGGGCUCCGGUCCAUUGAUCUUUUUGUGUGCAACCCAACUAGGUGUAGGCUCAGAUGGUUCGAUUCAACCAGGUGGCCUCAACAGCGCUCGCUGGCUAGUUCGUGUUUUCUAUGCUUCACCAUCCAAAAAAUCAUAGAUAUAACAUCAGCAGAAAAAAAAGCAAGCUCCUAGCUUCGGAAAAAACCCGGCGCUGUUCUGGUCGACUAGGAAAAAAAUGUAAAUUCGAAAUAAUGUUCAUGAAUUUCGUAAAUAUACACCCAUUUGAAAAAAUAAUUGUGAAUUUUAAAAAUGUUCAUGGAUUUGAAAAAAAAAGUUUAAGAAUACUUUUAGAAUGCGCCAGGCUAUAGAAAAAUUUGGAUUCAAGAACUAUCCAAUACAAGGAAACUGUGCCAUGUUUAUCCUUUCUGGUAUAUUGAAAUAAACCAGAAAACCGGCAUGUAUUAGAGAUUUACAUAAAUGAAGUGUUGCUGCGGUGAACUCCGUGUGUGCUGAAAAAUCACCUACUUGACAAGAUAGGAUUGGAGGAAUCAAUUGUCCGUUAUACAUUCUCUGGUUUCAUGUUCGUCCAGAUAAUCCCUGCACCUUCGGUUGCAGCUUCGCGUGCAGUUAGCGAUAGUUUAGCGAAUUUCGCUCGCGUAGAGGAUAGAACAAUGAGUUGGAUAGGUUCUGGCCCUUCAUGCGCACUGGAACUACCUUCUGCUGAGUGUAACACAACUAUGGUUUGAGUAAUACAAAUUUUUCACCCGCAAAAAAAAAGAAGCUUCGCGUGUAGUUCCGUCGGGUUUGCAAUGUAAACUCACCGCCUGGUUAAUUUCUUUGAACAUUCUUACGCUGGUGAAAACGCACGUCUCAUUGACGUGCACAUGCCUGGUCUUCCUCACGGAGCAUGCGUGUUCUUACAUGCAAAACUGGCGAUGAUCAGUUACACACCUGUACCUACAAGAGGGCUAGCUAAAGACGAGCACAAGCUAUAUAUACACAUAGCAUGUUUGCACAUGCAGUCAGUCGUACAUGACUGAUACAGAAGUUAGACCAAGUAUGUUGAAGCCGGCGGCAUCAUCUUCCUCGUGUGCCAGAUGUUGGACGAACGCCAGACGGAGGUAGAAGAUGACGAACGCCCCGGCCGACGAACGGUCUGUAUGUUGGCAUUUAUUCAUCUCAACUCUCUCAAACACACAAACAUGAAGGUACACACGUACACACGCAGCACAAUCCUAGAAGAACUCUCAUAUCGACCGACAAAGACUACAUCUUAUUUAGACCCCUCCCACUGUGGCUUACUCCUAACAUGCACAAUCUCCAUAUCUUCACUAAACUCUGAUGUAAUGUGAUAGACUGAUGUAUUUCGUUCGUGUCUGCAGGUGGAAGGCCGGUGUCGGCCCCUCCUGCUCCCGUAGCGCAGGUGAGACCCCAUGGGAGAUGCCCUAGUUUCCCGGUCUGCAACAACAAUCCAUCGCUUUCGCUGCCUCUUGCUCCUACUCCUCCUAUACAGCCAGCGGCCAGAGGUAAUUAAUUUAGCUUUGUAAUCAGUUCCAGCUUACGCCUUGGGCGGCAGGCCGAUUGCAGAGAAUUCAUAUUUUAAUACAAGUCAAGUCAGGUUGCAAUACGACUUGAGAUUAUGGUACAGUACUUGUUUGUAAGGCAGAUUUGCAGACAUAUAUACUUUCAUCAAUAUUAUGAUCCUACACGAGGUUUUGAAUUCUAUUCAUAGUAAGAAACGAGAUGCUAUGCUUUUGAAACUGGACUUUGGCAAGGCAUAUGAUAAAAUUAAAUGUCCUUUUAUGCACAAAAUGUUAACUCUGAAGGGAAUCCCAUGUCAAUCAAAUGAUUGGAUAAUCAAAACUACGAGAGAAGGGCAUGUUGGUAUCGAAGUAAAUGAUGGUGUAGGACCAUAAUUCCUUACUCUGCAUGGUUUAAGACGAGGUAUUCUCUCCCCUUUGCUUUUUAAUCUUGCUGUCCAUGCUUUCGUUAUUAUUUUAAAUAAUGCCAAAAAGCAUGGGUAUGUCAAAUGAAUGAUGAGUGAAUAUAGUGAGGAGGUGUAAACAUGUUGUAAUAUGCAGAUGAUACGAUAUCCCUCCUUCCAGAUGAUAUAUAGGAAAACAAAGAUUGGGGUCUAGUGGGCGCGUCACAGGAUUCUCUCCGCAAGUCUCAGGUGUCUACCGUUGAUUGGUCUCCAAAAGGUUCGAGUAGGGUUGACCCAGCUUCGCCUUCGUCCCAACCUAGAGAGCAUAUCUUGUGCACCUAGAGUAUUUGUGCUACAAGUGCAUCUAACAUCAAAGGCUUGUACUAUGAGUUCUAAAACAUUCUGAAAAUAAUUAAGUUGAAGAAAUAGCAUACAUCUAACAUGUUACAAAAUUUCAGUCAUAAAUUCAACUCGCAUAAAGAGAAACAAAAAUAACAAAUCAUGCUCUAGUAGUGCAAGCGGAACAAAUUCCCGGCCCUGUAUAAAUUAACAAAAUUCAGUUUAAAUUCAACUCACAUGUUAAUGAAUGUUGUUAAUUUAAGCUCGGCCAUUUCAUCGACAUAUUCUCUGCACCUUCGGUUGCAGCUUCGUGUACUUCGGCCGGUUUGCAAAGCAAACUCACCACCUGGUUAAUUUCCUCUAACAGUCAUACAUGGGUGGGUGCGUCACUUGAUAUUAUGGUACAAUACUUGUUUCUAUGGAGUAUUUGCCGACAUAUAUACUUUCAUCAAUAUAAUGAUCCUACACGAGGUUUUGAAUUUUGUUCAUGCUAAGAAACAAAAUGCUAUGCUUUUCAAAGUGGACUUUGGGAGGGCAUAUGAUAAAAUUAAGUGGCAUUUUUAUGCACACAAUGUGUUUUUCCGAGAGUACGCAAAAUGCGUACCAUAGCUUUAUAGAAGAGAGAAUUUCAAAUACAAGGCAACUACAACUCGCUGCGAACAACAGAAGUUGCAAUAGCUCCACUCCACCCACAGCAAAACAACUACAACGCAAAAGCGCCUGCCCAAAACCGAAAAACCUAGUCGCGUCUCGACUGAUGCCGGUCACCAUCGAAGAAACAACAACUCUCACCGAGCUUCCCUUGUCGACGCACCAUCCACUCUUUAUGCCUAAAGGAGGUGGCAACUGAAUGACGGGACUCGAUCAGACCCGAAAAAGGCACCGUCUUGGAAUCACUAGCGAUGGUCGUACAUUGCGCCGCGGCAGAUUAAUCAUGAACAGCAGCGAACACCGGAGGAGCGCACCGAAGGACGUCCAAACCGUGUCUCCAGGCACGAUGCUCCCAACAGAGAAACGACGUCGGGGCGCCAUCAUCGUGCUGAUCCUGCAAAUCAAGGCUUUCGCCCGGAGACAACUUCCAAUGCCAAGCGAGGUAGGGAGAUGGCUGCACGCCUCGGCGACGCCUCCAAGAAGGGAAAAGACACCAGCGGGUGCCCUCGCCGCCGGCCCGGCAAACACCGGGCAAGACUUUCGUUUGUAUCGCCGCACAUCUCCACACCUCCAAGGAUUGGGGCAGCAACGUCCUUGUAGCCUCACACCGCCGCCACCGCAGCACCCCGCCUCCGCACAACCAUGGUCCACCAAGAACACACACAACAACGAGAAACCCGACCCAAAUCUCCACCACCAUCCCCGGCCUGCAACCUCCCAUCACCAUGGGGAAGGACUCGGCACGCCACGAUGGUUGUCACCCACUCCAGGGGACAUCCACACAACGCCCCCCUCCCGCAGGCUCGGCUCGAACCUGAGCAGGUCACAGAUCUGACCCGCGCCUCCGCACUCCCCUUCAACGGCAGCACCCCGAACGCAGAGGAAGACGACCGCCCGCUGCUCACCAGGAGCUCCUUCCUGGUAGAGCCUCCACAGCGCCGCCGCCUGUACGGUCAGGAACUCACGCCGCUGCCUCCAGGUCGCGCCUCCACGCCGCCCAGCUCCACCGCUGCUACUGCCUCACCACCAGAGCUCGCCGCUCCACCACAAGCCACGCCGUGCGCCGGCGCAGCCCGCCGCUGCCUCGCGCCACUGGCCAUCCAGCACCAUCCCCUCCCCUAGGACGGCCCACCUCCUCGCGAAGGGAGCCAGUCAGGGAGGGUCUCCACCACCCGCCGCCUUCGACGUCAGGCGUGGCCGCAACUGCCGGCGCCGGCGGCGGAAGCGGCCAGAGCAAGUGGAUCUGUCUGCCUCCUCUGCUAGGGUUUGGGGGCCCUCCGGAGCCGCUCGCGCGAGCGACUCGGGAGGGGAGGGGAUGGGUGGCCGCAUAGAAUUAAACAAAACAUGCAUGCACACAAUGUUAACUCUGAAGGGAUUUCCAUGUAAAUCAAAUGAUUGUAUAAUCAAAACUUUGAUAGGGGGUCAUGUUGGUAUAAAAGUAAAUCGCCCCCCCCCCCUUUGCUUUUCAAUCUUGCUGCUCCUGAUUUGGUUAUUAUUUUAAAUAAUGCCAAAAAGCAUUGGUAUGUCAAAUGAAUGAUGAGUGAAUAUAGCGAGGGAGGAGUAAACAUGUUGUAUGCAGAUGAUAUGAUAUCCAUCUUUGCAGAUAAAUUUAAAAUUUAUCUAAUGUGCUUUUGAAUGGAUUUCAAUUUUGAAAAUAAUUUUCAUAAGAGAGACUUUCUUAUUUGGAGAUGUUAUGAAUAGAUAAGAGGAAUAUAGGAAAAUCUUUACCUAUCAAUUGUGGGAGCUACCUAUGACAUACACGUGAAUUCCACCUGAUAAGUGAGAAUAAGAAAUAAAGAUUGGAAGAAUAUUAAAAUAGGUGUGCUUGCUGGCAAGGUAUGAUGCUAAACAUUAUUGACAGACUUGUCUUUGUGCAUUCUAGUUUAAGUAGCUGGUCUUUAUCAGUUAGCAAUGGAUUAAGCGGGGGGGGGGGGGGGGGGGGUGGUCCAAGCGAGCGGAUGGAGCAAGGAGCCGAGCUAAGAGAAUGGGAGCUUCAUUGGCUGGCCCAUGUUAGGGCAUCCACAAUAUUUAGAGGCUGUAUGGCCUCUAAGCUAUCCACAUGCCUGCCUCUACACUUUGCCCAAAACUGUGUAGUAUAUGAAGUUUAGUUUGGCCUCUAAGGUGGACCCAUGGCAGGCACCAUGCACAUGAAAAAUAGGUUUUCUCAAUCAACCAAUCUAGCAUAUAUACAUCAUGCACCGGUGAGCAUGACAAGUAGGGCACAAUAUUAAUUUAGUCUGAAGAGAAAGAUGGAGGCGCCUCUUAGCUUGGAGUUAAUGCUGACCAUUUUAGAUUGGAGGAAGUCAUUUGCAGUGUAUGGCGCCGGCCGCCAAUGAAGGAAAUAUGCCCUAGAGGCAAUAAUAAAGUUAUUAUUUAUUUCCUCAUAUCAUGAUAAAUGUUUAUUAUUCAUGCUAGAAUUGUAUUAACCGGAAACAUGAUACAUGUGUGAAUACAUAGACAAACAUAUAGUCACUAGUAUGCCUCUACUUGACUAGCUCAUUAAUCAAAGAUGGUUAUGUUUCCUAACCAUAGACAUGUGUUGUCAUUUGAUUAGUGGGAUCACAUCAUUAGAAGAAUGAUGUGAUUGACAUGACCCAUUCCGUUAGCCUAGCACUUGAACGUUUAGUAUACUGCUAUUGCUUUCCUCAUGACUUAUACAUGUUCCUGUAACUAUGAGAAUUAUGCAACUCCCGUUUACCGGAGGAACACUUUGAGUACUACCAAAUGUCACAACGUAACUGGGUGAUUAUAAAGGAGUACUACAGGUGUCUCCGAAGGUACAUGUUGAGUUGGCGUAUUUUGAGAUUAGGUUUUGUCACUCCGAUUGUCGGAGAGGUAUCUCUGGGCCCUCUCAGUAAUGCACAUCACUAUAAGCCUUGCAAGCAGUGUAGCUAAUGAGUUAGUUACGGAAUGAUGUAUUACGUAACGAGUAAAGAGACUUGCCGGUAACGAGAUUGAACUAGGUAUUGGAUACCGACGAUCAAAUCUCGGGCAAGUAACAUACCGAUGACAAAGGGAACAACGUAUGUUGUUAUGCGGUUUGACCGAUAAAGAUCUUCGUAGAAUAUGUGGGAGCCAAUAUGGGCAUCCAGGUCCCGCUUUUGGUUAUUGACCGGAAACAAAGUUCUGGGUCAUGUCUACAUAGUUAUCGAACCCGUAGGGUACGCACGCUUAACGUUUCGUUGACGAUAUAGUAUUAUAUGAGUUAUGUAUGUUGGUAACCGAAUGUUGUUCGGAGUCCCGGAUGAGAUCAUGGACAUGACGAGGAACUCCAGAAUGGUCCGGAGAUAAAAGUUGAUAUAUGGGAUAAUAGUGUUUGAUCUCCGGAAGAGUUCCGGAAUUCACCGGGAGGGGUUUCGGAUGUUUCCCGAAAUGUUUGGGAACGAGAACACGUUAUUUGGGCCAAAGGGGAAAGUCCACAAGGUUUUUGGAAAGCGCAAAAGGAAGUUUUGCGGAGUCCAGGGGCCAGACGCCAGGGUCCCUGGCGUAUGGGUCCAGAUGCCGGGAACCCUGGCGUCUGGCCCUGGAGUCCGAGAAGGACUCUUGCCUUUCGGGUGAAACUGACUUUGUGGAGGCUUUUACUCCAAGUUUUGACCCCAAGGCUCAACAUAUAAAAAGAGGGGUACGGCUAGCACCAAAGACACAUCAAGAAACACCAAGCCGUGUGCCGGCAACCCCGUCCCCUCUAGUUUAUCCUCCGUCAUAGUUUCCGUAGUGCUUAGGCGAAGCCCUGCGGAGAUUGUUCUUCACCAACAUCGUCACCACGCCGUCGUGCUGCCGGAACUCAUCUACUACUUCGCCCGUCUUGCUGGAUCGAGAAGGCGAGGACGUCAUUGAGCUGAACGUGUGCAGAACUCGGAGGUGCCGUGCGUUCGGUACUUGGAUCGGUCGGAUCGUGAAGACGUACGACUACAACCGCGUUGAUAAACGCUUCCACUUAGCGAUCUUCAAGGGUAUGAAGAUACACUCCUCCUCUCGUUGCUAUGCCAUCACCAUGAUCUUGCGUGUACGUAGGAAAUUUUUUGAAAUUACUAUGUUCCCCAACAGUGGCAUCCGAGCCUAGGUUUUAUGCGUUGAUGUUAUAUGCACGAGUAGAACACAAGUGAGUUGUGGGCGAUACAAGUCAUACUGCUUACCAGCAUGUCAUACUUUGGUUCAGCGGUAUUGUGAGAUGAAGCGGCCCGGACCGACAUUACGCGUAUGCUUACGCGAGACUGGUUUCACCGUUAGAGCACUAGUGCUUAAAGGUGGCUGGCGGGUGUCUGUCUCUCUCACUUUAGCUGAAUCGAGUGUGGCUACGCCCGGUCCUUGCGAAGGUUAAAACAACACCAACUUGACGAACUAUCGUUGUGGUUUUUGAUGCGUAGGUAAGAACGGUUCUUGCUAAGCCCGUAGCAGCCAUAUAAAAUUUGCAACAACAAAGUAGAGGACGUCUAACAUGUUUUUGCAGGGCAUGUUGUGAUGUGAUAUGGUCAAGAUGUGAUGCUAUAUUUUAUUGUAUGAGAUGAUCCUGUUUUGUAACCGAAGUUAUCGGCAACUGGCAGGAGCCAUAUGGUUGUCGCUUUAUUGUAUGAAAUGCAAACGCCCUGUAAUUGCUUUACUUUAUCACUAAGCGGUAGCGAUAGUCGUAGAAGCAAUAGAUGGCGUAACGACAACGAUGCUAUGAUGGAGAUCAAGGUGUCGCGUCGGUGACGAUGGUGAUCAUGACGGUGCUUCGAAGAUGGAGAUCACAAGCACAAGAUGAUGAUGGCCAUAUCAUAUCACUUAUAUUGAUUGCAUGUGAUGUUUAUCCUUUAUGCAUCUUAUCUUGCUUUGAUUGACGGUAGCAUCUUAAGGGCGAAUUUCGUUAAACCCUGCCCNNNNNNNNNNNNNNNNNNNNNNNNNNNNNNNNNNNNNNNNNNNNNNNNNNUUGCGGGCCGCGAAUUCGCCCUUCUACUCCAUCUCACGUGAUGAUCGGACAUGGUUUAGUUGAUUUGGAUCACGUGAUCACUUAGAUGAGUAGAGAGAUGUCUGUCUAAGUGGGAGUUCUUAAGUAAUAUGAUUAAUUGAACUUAAAUUUAUCAUGAACUUAGUACCUAAUAGUAUUUUGCUUGUCUAUGUUUGUUUGUAGAUAGAUGGCUCGUGCUAUUGUUCCGUUGAAUUUUAAUGCGUUCCUUGAGAAAGCAAAGUUGAAAGAUGAUGGUAGCAAUUACACAGACUGGGUCCGUAACCUGAGGAUUAUCCUCAUUGCUGCACAGAAAAGUUACGUCCUGGAAGCACCGCUAGGUGCCAGGCCUGCUGCUGAUGCAACUGACGACGUUAAGAACGUCUGGCAGAGCAAAGCUGAUGACUACUCGAUAGUGCAGUGUGCCAUGCUUUACGGCUUAGAACCGGGUCUUCAACGACGUUUUGAACAUCAUGGAGCAUAUGAGAUGUUCAAGGAGUUGAAGUUGAUAUUUCAAGCAAAUGCCCGGAUUGAGAGAUAUGAAGUCUCUAAUAAGUUCUACAGCUGCAAGAUGGAGGAGAAUAGUUCUGUCAGUGAACACAUACUCAAAAUGUCUGGGUAUAAUAAUCACUUGAUUCAACUGGGAGUUAAUCUUCCUGAUGAUAGUGUCAUUGACAGAAUUCUCCAAUCACUGCCACCGAGCUACAAGAGCUUCGUGAUGAACUAUAAUAUGCAAGGGAUGAACAAGACUAUUUCCGAGCUCUUCGCAAUGCUAAAAGCCGCGGAGGUAGAAAUCAAAAAGGAGCAUCAAGUGUUGAUGGUUAACAAAACCACCAGUUUCAAGAAGAAGGGCAAAGGGAAGAAGAAGGGGAACUUCAAAAAGAACAGCAAGCAAGUUGCUGCUCAAGAGAAGAAACCUAAGUCUGGACCUAAGCCUGAAACUGAGUGCUUCUACUGCAAGCAGACUGGACACUGGAAGCGGAACUGCCCCAAGUAUUUGGCGGAUAAGAAGGAUGGCAAAGUGAACAAAGGUAUAUGUGAUAUACAUGUUAUUGAUGUGUACCUUACUAAUGCUCGCAGUAGCACCUGGGUAUUUGAUACUGGUUCUGUUGCUAAUAUUUGCAACUCGAAACAGAGACUACGGAUUAAGCGAAGAUUGGCUAAGGACGAGGUGACGAUGCGCGUGGGAAAUGGUUCCAAAGUCGAUGUGAUCGCGGUCGGCACGCUACCUCUACAUCUACCAUCGGGAUUAGUUUUAGACCUAAAUAAUUGUUAUUUGGUGCCAGCGUUGAGCAUGAACAUUAUAUCUGGAUCUUGUUUGAUGCGAGACGGUUAUUCAUUUAAAUCAGAGAAUAAUGGUUGUUCUGUUUAUAUGAGUAAUAUCUUUUAUGGUCAUGCACCCUUGAAGAGUGGUCUAUUUUUGUUGAAUCUCGAUAGUAGUGAUACACAUGUUCAUAGUGUUGAAACCAAAAGAUGCAGAGUUGAUAACGAUAGUGCAACUUAUUUGUGGCACUGCCGUUUAGGUCAUAUCGGUGUAAAGCGCAUGAAGAACCUCCAUACUGAUGGGCUUUUGGAAUCACUUGAUUAUGAAUCACUUGGUACUUGCGAACCGUGCCUCAUGGGCAAGAUGACUAAAACGCCGUUCUCCGGAACUAUGGAGCGAGCAACUGAUUUGUUGGAAAUCAUACAUACUGAUGUUUGUGGUCCAAUGAAUGUUGAGGCUCGCGGCGGGUACCGUUAUUUUCUCACCUUCACAGAUGAUUUGAGCAGAUAUGGGUAUAUCUACUUGAUGAAACACAAGUCUGAAACAUUUGAAAAGUUCAAAGAAUUUCAGAGUGAAGUGGAAAAUCAUCGUAACAAGAAAAUAAAAUUUCUACGAUCUGAUCAUGGAGGAGAAUAUUUGAGUUACGAGUUUGGUCUACACUUGAAACAAUGCGGAAUAGUUUCGCAACUCACGCCACCCGGAACACCACAACGAAAUGGUGUGUCCGAACGACGUAAUCGUACUUUACUAGAUAUGGUGCGAUCUAUGAUGUCUCUUGCUGAUUUACCGCUAUCAUUUUGGGGUUAUGCUUUAGAGACGGCCGCAUUCACGUUAAAUAGGGCACCAUCAAAAUCCGUUGAGACGACGCCUUAUGAACUGUGGUUUGGCAAGAAACCAAAGUUGUCGUUUCUUAAAGUUUGGGGCUGCGAUGCUUAUGUGAAGAAACUUCAACCAGAUAAGCUUGAACCCAAAUCGGAGAAAUGUGUCUUCAUAGGAUACCCAAAAGAAACUAUUGGGUACACCUUCUAUCACGGAUCUGAAGGCAAGAUUUUCGUUGCUAAAAUCGGAUCCUUUCUAGAGAAGGAGUUUCUCUCGAAAGAAGUGAGUGGGAGAAAAGUAGAACUUGAUGAGAUAACUGUAUCUACUCCCUUAUUGGAAAGUAGUUCAUCACAAGAACCGGUUCCUGUGACAACUACACCAAUCAGUGAGGAAGCUAAUGAUAUUGAUCAUGAAACUUCAGAUCAAGUUUCUGUUGAACUUCGUAGGUCUACCAGAGUAAGAUCCGCACCAGAGUGGUAUGGUAAUCCUAUUCUGGAAGUCAUGUUACUUGACCAUGAUGAACCUACGAACUAUGAGGAAGCGAUGAUGAGCCCAGAUUCCGCAAAAUGGCUAGAGGCCAUGAAAUCUGAGAUGGGAUCCAUGUAUGAAAACAAAGUAUGGACUUUGGUUGACUUGCCCGAUGAUCGGCAAGCAAUUGAGAAUAAAUGGAUCUUUAAGAAGAAGACUGACGCUGAUGGUAAUGUAACUGUCUAUAAAGCUCAACUUGUUGCGAAAGGUUUUCGACAAGUUCAAGGAGUUGACUACGAUGAGACUUUCUCACCUGUAGCGAUGCUUAAGUCUGUCCGAAUCAUGAUAGCUAUUGCUGCAUUUCAUGAUUAUGAAAUUUAGCAAAUGGAUGUCAAAACUGCAUUCUUGAAUGGAUUUCUGGAAGAAGAGUUGUAUAUGAUGCAGCCAGAAGGUUUUGUUGAUCCAAAAGGUGCUAACAAAGUGUGCAAGCUCCAGCGUUCCAUUUAUGGACUGGUGCAAGCAUCUCGGAGUUGGAAUAAACGCUUUAAUAGUGUAAUCAAAGCAUAUGGUUUUAUACAGACUUUUGGAGAAGCCUGUAUUUACAAGAAAGUGAGUGGGAGCUCUAUAGCAUUUCUGAUAUUAUAUGUAGAUGACAUAUUAUUAAUUGGAAAUGAUACAGAGUUUCUGGAUAGCAUAAAGGGAUACUUGAAUAAAAGUUUUUCAAUGAAAGACCUCGGUGAAGCUGCUUACAUAUUGGGCAUCAAGAUCUAUAGAGAUAGAUCAAGACGCUUGAUAGGACUUUCACAAAGCACAUACCUUGAUAAAAUUUUGAAAAAGUUCAAAAUGGAUCAGGCAAAGAAAGGGUUCUUGCCCGUACUACAAGGUGUGAAGUUGAGUCAAACUCAAUGCCCGACCACAGCAGAAGAUAGAGAGAAAAUGAAAGAUGUUCCCUAUGCUUCAGCCAUAGGCUCUAUCAUGUAUGCAAUGAUGUGUACCAGACCUGACGUAUGCUUAGCAAUAAGCUUGGCAGGAAGGUACCAGAGUAAUCCAGGAGUGGAUCACUGGACGGCGGUCAAGAACAUCCUGAAAUACCUGAAAAGGACUAAGGAUAUGUUUCUCGUAUAUGGAGGUGACAAAGAGCUAGUCGUAAAUGGUUACGUCGAUGCAAGCUUUGACACUGAUCCGAACGAUUCUAAAUCGCAAACCGGAUACGUGUUUUUAUUAAAUGGUGGAGCUGUAAGUUGGUGCAGUUCUAAACAAAGCGUCGUGGCGGGAUCUACAUGUGAAGCGGAGUACAUAGCUGCUUCGGAAGCAGCAAAUGAAGGAGUCUGGAUGAAGGAGUUCAUUUCCGAUCUAGGUGUCAUACCUAGUGCAUCGGGACCAAUGAAAAUCUUCUGUGACAAUACUGGUGCAAUUGCCUUGGCAAAGGAAUCCAGAUUUCACAAGAGGACCAAGCACAUCAAGAGACGCUUCAAUUCCAUUCGGGACCAAGUCCAAGUGGGAGACAUAGAGAUUUGCAAGAUACAUACGGAUCUGAAUGUUGCAGACCCGUUGACUAAGCCUCUCUCACGAGCAAAAUAUGAUCAGCACCAAGACUCCAUGGGUGUUAGAAUCAUUAAUAUGUAAUCUAGAUUAUUGACUCUAGUGCAAGUGGGAGACUGAAGGAAAUAUGCCCUAGAGGCAAUAAUAAAGUUAUUAUUUAUUUCCUCAUAUCAUGAUAAAUGUUUAUUAUUCAUGCUAGAAUUGUAUUAACCGGAAACAUGAUACAUGUGUGAAUACAUAGACAAACAUAUAGUCACUAGUAUGCCUCUACUUGACUAGCUCAUUAAUCAAAGAUGGUUAUGUUUCCUAACCAUAGACAUGUGUUGUCAUUUGAUUAGUGGGAUCACAUCAUUAGAAGAAUGAUGUGAUUGACAUGACCCAUUCCGUUAGCCUAGCACUUGAUCGUUUAGUAUACUGCUAUUGCUUUCUUCAUGACUUAUACAUGUUCCUGUAACUAUGAGAAUUAUGCAACUCCCGUUUACCGGAGGAACACUUUGGGUACUACCAAACGUCACAACGUAACUGGGUGAUUAUAAAGGAGUACUACAGGUGUCUCCGAAGGUACAUGUUGAGUUGGCGUAUUUUGAGAUUAGGUUUUGUCACUCCGAUUGUCGGAGAGGUAUCUCUGGGCCCUCUCGGUAAUGCACAUCACUAUAAGCCUUGCAAGCAGUGUAGCUAAUGAGUUAGUUACGGAAUGAUGUAUUACGUAACGAGUAAAGAGACUUGCCGGUAACGAGAUUGAACUAGGUAUUGGAUACCGACGAUCAAAUCUCGGGCAAGUAACAUACCGAUGACAAAGGGAACAAUGUAUGUUGUUAUGCGGUUUGACCGAUAAAGAUCUUCGUAGAAUAUGUGGGAGCCAAUAUGGGCAUCCAGGUCCCGCUUUUGGUUAUUGACCGGAAACAAAGUUCUGGGUCAUGUCUACAUAGUUCUCGAACCCGUAGGGUCCGCAUGCUUAACGUUUCGUUGACGAUAUAGUAUUAUAUGAGUUAUGUAUGUUGGUAACCGAAUGUUGUUCAGAGUCCCGGAUGAGAUCAUGGACAUGACGAGGAACUCCGGAAUGGUCCGGAGAUAAAGUUUGAUAUAUGGGAUAAUAGUGUUUGAUCUUUGGAAGAGUUCCGGAAUUCACCGGAAGGGGUUCCGGAUGUUUCCCGAAAUGUUUGGGAACGAGAACACGUUAUUUGGGCCAAAGGGGAAAGUCCACAAGGUUUUUGGAAAGCGCAAAAGGAAGUUUUGCGGAGUCCAGGGGCCAGACGCCAGGGUCCCUGGCGUAUGGGUCCAGAUGCCGGGAACCCUGGCGUCUGGCCCUGGAGUCCGAGAAGGACUCUUGCCUUUCGGGUGAAACCGACUUUGUGGAGGCUUUUACUCCAAGUUUCGACCCCAAGGCUCAACAUAUAAAUAGAGGGGUAGGGCUAGCACCAAAGACACAUCAAGAAACACCAAGCCGUGUGCCGGCAACCCCAUCCCCUCUAGUUUAUCCUCCGUCAUAGUUUCCGUAGUGCUUAGACGAAGCCCUGCGGAGAUUGUUCUUCACCAACAUCGUCACCACGCCGUCGUGCUGCCGGAACUCAUCUACUACUUCGCCCGUCUUGCUGGAUCGAGAAGGCGAGGACGUCAUUGAGCUGAACGUGUGCAGAACUCGGAGGUGCCGUGCGUUCGGUACUUGGAUCGGUCGGAUCGUGAAGACGUACGACUACAUCAACCGCGUUGAUAAACGCUUCCGCUUAGCGAUCUUCAAGGGUAUGAAGAUACACUCCUCCUCUCGUUGCUAUGCCAUCACCAUGAUCUUGCGUGUACGUAGGAAUUUUUUUGAAAUUACUACGUUCCCCAACAGCCAACUCAUUGGAGGUGGCCAUAGAAGCGGGAAAAGAGCACAUUGUGGAUGCUCUUAGUGUUAUAGCAGCAAUUCCAUGGUUCUAGCGUGAAAUAAGAUCUCCCAAGGGGCGCACACAACGACCACAGGAUGACACCGAUAUCAAAACAUGUAAGGGUGCCAUAACCACGCACUAAAAAACUACACUCUCUUCUCAAAUGCAGUCUCCAACAGCACCCCGAUAUGCAAAUGAAAAACACACCGCCAGUACAUAAUUAAAACUGAAGCCAACAUAGACCAGACUAAAACGAAAGAGCUGACUGCAAUAAACUGCUAGAGAAAAAAGAGUUAACCCCAUGAUGUUAAAAGGAACUCUCAUGCUACCUAACGUAUGAGAUGUUUUGCCGUUGGAGGUAUUAUACUAUUGUUAUAACAAAAAAUCAUUCAUUUUCAAAUAAUAUCAAUGGAACCAAUAUAUAUCAGCAACUUUGAUGAAAUGUGGAGACGCAUAUAUAGACAACAAUAGCUUCUUUUCUAGAAUAUGGUGCCAGCAUACAUGUGAAAUGACUAUAUUAGCAAUAAAAGCACACAUUAUUACACUAUGAAUAGGAAAAUAAUGAGUUUGUAAUGAAGAAUACGAUAGAGAAAAGUCAAAAUUCGAUAAUCUUUGCUGCGUUAUUUAAGUAUUCCAUUCAUGUCAGUUGGACUGCCAUACAGCGGUCCACACUCACACUGGAUGACCGUGGUACGUUGAAUCCGCACUAAGGGGCGGUACUCAGAGUAAGACACGCACAUUUACACUAGUAGAAAAAGAGGCUUCCGUCCAGCCUCAUUAGUCGCGAAACUGUAGGAACCGCGACUAAUGAAGUCUUCAGUCGCGGUUCGGCAGAUGAACCGCGACCAAAUGCCUGGGCCCAGGGCAAGGUGCGCAAAGGCCUUUAGUCGCGGUUGCACGGGGAUGAAGCAUUCAGGGGGCGGCCUAUUAAUUUCCCAUUAGUGUUAAUACACAUAUANNNNNNNNNNNNNNNNNNNNNNNNNNNNNNNNNNNNNNNNNNNNNNNNNNGAAAAAAAUUAAUUCUAUAAAUAUGCCAAGGCCCAGCCCCAUCCGGCACAAGAGGCAGUAAUGACAUCCUCCUCUAUUGCCGUCGAGGCUACUCUGCUCCUCUUCAUCCUCGUCGCCCAUGCCCAUGGCUGCGGUGCCAGGAACCACGCGCCUCGUCCUUCCCCGGCCACCAAAAAGCCUCCCUACAUGGCCACUCCUCCUGCGGCCAAUUCCAGCUGGCUCGACGCCAAGGCGACAUGGUACGGCGCGCGCCACGGUGCUGGGCCCGACGACAAUGGUGGCGCGUGCGGGUUCAAGAACGUCAACUUGCCGCCCUUCUCUGCCAUGACCUCCUGCAGCAAUGAGCCGCUCUCCAAGUAUUAUACCCAUCCAGCAGCCAACACUUAGCCAUUUGGAGCCAUUCUCUUCACAAGUGGGUGUAGGUUUGUUUUUGGUUCCUCUUAUGCACAUAAGGUGUUUGAUGAAAUGCCCCAAGAGCAUGAAACAAACAUGACAUGAAGUGUUGGAGCCACACUCCUCGAUCGCGGUUAGCAACUUGAUGAACCUUUGAUGUGUCAUUGAUAAAAUAUGCAUGUGUGCAGUUCAUUGUUUAAUUUAUAUUAUUUGUAGCUAGUUAGUUUAACAAAUGCAUGAUGGUUAAUUAUAUACUUUAUAUUAUAAUAAUGCAGAUGAAUCGGCAAUGGAUGUACGGUAACCGACUCUCCGGCGAGUUCACUACGGGUUUUAAAGAUUUCCUCGUAGUGGCUAAUGCGAACAAGCAGGGGGGUUUUGUUAUCUGUCCAUGUGUUAUCUGUAAGAAUCAGAAGGGUUACUCUUCCUCAAGAGAUGUUCACAUGCAUCUGCUUCGGCACGGUUUCAUGCCAAGCUAUAAUUGUUGGACCAAGCAUGGAGAAAGAGGGGUUAUAAUGGAAGAAGAUGAAGAAGGGGAUGAUUUCAUCGAUGAAAGCUAUCUUGCUCAUUUCGGUGAUACUUUCAUGGAGGAUGCUGAAGGUGAAGGGGAAGGUGAAGAAGAGGCACGUGAUGAUCCCGUUGAUGAUCUUGGUCGGACCAUUGCUGAUGCACGGAGACGCUGCGAAACUGAAAAGGAGAGGGAGAAUUUGGAUCGCAUGUUAGAGGAUCACAGAAAGGCGCUGUACCCCGGAUGCGAUGAUGGUCUGAAAAAGCUGGGCUGCACACUGGAUUUGCUGAAAUGGAAGGAAGAGGCAGGUGUAGCUGACUCGGCAUUUGAAAACUUGCUGAAAAUGUUGAAGAAUAUGUUUCCAAAGGAUAACGAGUUGCCCGCCAGUACGUACGAAGCAAAGAAGGUUGUCUGCCCUCUAGGUUUAGAGGUUCUGAAGAUACAUGCAUGCAUCAACGACUGCAUCCUCUACCGCGGUGAAUACGAGAAUUUGAAUGAAUGCCCGGUAUGCACUGCAUUGCGUUAUAAGAUCAGAGGCGAUGACCCUGGUGACGAUGUUGAGGGCCAGAAACCUAGGAAGAGGGUUCCCGCCAAGGUGAUGUGGUAUGCUCCUAUAAUACCACGGUUGAAACGUCUGUUCAGGAACAAAGAGCAUGCCAAGUUGUUGCGAUGGCACAAAGAGGACCGUAAGUCGGACGGGGAGUUGAGACACACCGCAGAUGGAACGCAAUGGAGAAAGAUCGACAGAUGGUUCAAAGAUUUUGCAGCUGACGCAAGGAACAUAAGAUUUGCUCUAAGUACGGAUGGCAUGAAUCCUUUUGGCGAGCAGAGCUCCAGCCAUAGCACCUGGCCCGUGACUCUAUGCAUCUACAACCUUCCUCCUUGGUUGUGCAUGAAGCGGAAGUUCAUUAUGAUGCCAGUGCUCAUCGAAGGUCCGAAGCAACCCGGCAACGACAUCGAUGUGUACCUAAGGCCAUUAGUUGAUGAACUUUUACAGCUGUGGGGUGGUGUCCGUGUGUGGGAUGAGCACAAACAAGAGGAAUUUGACCUACGAGCGUUGCUUUUCGUAACCAUCAACGAUUGGCCUGCUCUUAGUAACCUUUCGGGACUGUCAAAUAAGGGAUACAAUGCAUGCACGCACUGCUUACAUGAGACUGAAAGUGUACAUUUGCCAAAUUGUAAGAAGAACGUGUACCUUGGGCAUCGUCGAUUUCUUCCGAAAAUUCAUCCAGUAAGAAAGAAAGGCAAGCAUUACAACGGCAAGGCAGAUCACCGGCCGAAGCCUGCGGAACGCACUGGUGCUGAGGUAUUUGAUAUGGUCAAGGAUUUGAAAGUCAUCUUUGGAAAGGGUCCUGGCGGACAAUCAGUUCCGAAGGGAGCUGACGGGCACGCAGCCAUGUGGAAGAAGAAAUCUAUAUUCUGGGAGCUAGAAUAUUGGAAAGUCCUAGAUGUCCGCUCUGCAAUCGACGUGAUGCACGUUACGAAGAAUAUUUGCGUGAACCUCCUAAGCUUCUUGGGCGUGUAUGGGAAGACAAAUGAUACAAAGGAAGCACGGCAGGACCAGCAACGUUUGAAAGACCCUGAUGACCGGCAUCCGGAAUGGUUUCAAGGUCGUGCCAGCUACGCUCUGACCAAAGAAGAGAAGGUCAUCUUUUUUGAAUGCCUGAGCAGUAUGAAGGUCCCGUCUGGAUUCUCGUCCAAUAUAAAGGGAAUAAUAAACAUGGCGGAGAAAAAGUUCCAAAACCUGAAGUCUCACGACUGCCACGUGAUUAUGACGCAAUUGCUUCCGAUUGCUUUGAGGGGGCUCCUGCCGGAAAAUGUUCGAGUAGCCAUUGUGAAGCUAUGUGCAUUCCUCAAUGCAAUCUCUCAGAAGGUAAUCAAUCCAGAAGUUCUACCAUGGUUACAGAACGAUGUGAUCCAAUGUCUUGUCAGUUUCGAGUUGGUGUUCCCGCCAUCCUUCUUCAAUAUUAUGACGCACCUCCUGGUUCACCUAGUCGAAGAGAUUUUCGUUCUCGGUCCUGUAUUUCUACACAAUAUGUUCCCCUUCGAGAGGUUCAUGGGAGUAUUAAAGAAAUAUGUUCGUAACCGUGCUAGGCCAGAAGGAAGCAUCGCCAAGGGCUAUGGAAAUGAGGAGGUAAUUGCGUUUUGUGUUGACUUUGUUCCUGACCUUAAGCCGAUUGGUCUUCCUCGAUCGCGGCACGAGGGGAGACUAAGUGGAAAAGGCACGAUCGGAAGGAAAUCAACGAUAUGUAUGGACGGCCAUUCUCUGACUGAAGCACACCACACUGUACUGACCAAUUCCAGCUUGGUGGCUCCGUACUUUGAGAAACACAAGAAUAUUUUACGCUCGGAGAACCCGGGGAAGCCUGAAUCCUGGAUUAGGAAGGCCCACAUGGAGACUUUCGGCAGUUGGUUGAGAAAACAUUUAAUGAAUGACAAUGAUGUUGUAGAUCAGCUGUACAUGUUGGCCAAGACACCAUCUUCGACUAUAACGACUUUCCAAGGGUACGAGAUAAAUGGGAAUACAUUUUACACGAUCGCCCAAGAUAAAAAGAGCACCAACCAAAACAGUGGUGUCCGCUUUGAUGCAGCAACCGAGAAUGGGCAAAAGGUCACAUAUUAUGGUUACAUAGAGGAGAUAUGGGAACUUGACUAUGGACCCUCCUUUAAGGUCCCUUUGUUCCGGUGCAAAUGGUUCAAGCUAACAGGAGGUGGGGUAAAGGUGGACCAGCAAUACGGAAUGACAAUGGUGGAUUUCAACAAUCUUGGUUACCUUGACGAACCAUUCGUCCUAGCGAAAGAUGUCGCUCAGGUUUUCUAUGUGAAGGACAUGAGUAGCAAACCGAGGAAACGGAAAGAUAAGAAAACGAUCAGUGCAUCAUGCGAUGAUCCAAAGCGCCACAUUGUUCUUUCAGGGAAAAGAAACAUCGUGGGAGUGGAGGACAAGACAGACAUGUCAGAAGAUUAUAAUAUGUUUGCUGAAAUUCCGCCCUUCAAAGUGAACACCGACCCAAGCAUUAAGUUAAAUGAUGAGGAUGCUCCAUGGAUACGGCACAAUCGUAAGCAAGCAGGGACACAAGGGAAGAAAUGAUGUGUAAUAAUUUAUUGUAUCAAACCUUUUGUCAAACCUUCAAGGGGUUUUAAAAUGAAUUAGUUUUAUUUUUCUGAUUUUUUUGAUAUAUAAUUGUAUUUUUAAGAUUUUAAAAUGAAUUAGUUUUAUUUUUCUGAUUUUAAAAGGAAAAAGGAAGAAGCAGAAAGAAGGAAAAAGGAAGAAAAAAACAGAAGAAAAAAACAGAAGAAAAAAGGAAAAACAGAAGAAAAAAACAAACAGAAGAAAAACAUAAAAAAAAACAGAAGAAAAAAACAGAAGAAAAAAGAAAAAAGGAAAAAAGGAAAAAAAAAUGCCACCUACUGGGCCACCACGGCCUGAAUACGACUAGAAACCCAUUAAAGGGCCAGGAUUCAGGCCCGCAGAAGGCCCAGUAGGCCCACAUGCACAUAGUGACAGAAUAGGCCCGUAAGCCUGCAUUUGAGAGGAGCUCGAAGUGGUGAGCGCAGCCGCGCUUAUAAACCACUGUCGAAGCCUCUCGGCUAGCGAGGUGGGACUAAACAUCCCACCGCACCGCGCCAGUUCUAGCACAGACCUUUAGUCGCGGUUGGGGAGGCGGGAACGGAGGGUCUUUCUGCGCGGGAACGGAGGCGGCGCCAAAACCCUUUAGUCGCGGUUGGCGAGGACAGCCGGAAAAUCUUUGUGCACGUGCCCCUAAUGACCGGCGCUCGGGAGUAACAGUCAUCGCCAUUGAAUCCUUGAAUCGAUCAGAAGAACUUGACACCAAAUCUCCCCGUUGCGUAUGCACGACGAGAAAAAUAUAACCUCGCCGCUCCGAGGAGCUGGCAAGAAUCUAAGCCGGAAAUCGGUCUAAUCCGUCCCCGGGUGAACGAACUUGACCAGGAUCGGAGGCCGGAUUGUUGUUAGGNNNNNNNNNNNNNNNNNNNNNNNNNNNNNNNNNNNNNNNNNNNNNNNNNNGUAUUUGCAGUUAGUUAAAGAUAGUUUCUGUGAAGAGUGUUCCAUUUUCCUUUCUCUCGACGCCGACGCCCUGCCCCGACCGACGCCGACGCCCUGCCCCGACGCCGACGCCGACGCCGAAGCCUUGCGCGCCGCCGCCCCCGUCCCCAGUGAGCGCCGCCGCCCCCGUCCCCAGUGAGCGCCGCCGCCGCCCUGCCCUUGCCCGCCGCCCUGCCCUUGCCCGCCGCCCCCGUCCCCAGUGAGCGCCGCCGCCGCCCUGCCCUUGCCCGCCGUGCGUUGCGCCCUUGCCCGCCGCCGCCGCCCUGCCCUUGCCCGCCGCCCGUGCGCCGGCAGAAGAAGAAGAAGGAAGAAGAAAAAGGAAGAAGAAGAAGAAAGAAAAAGGAAAAAGGAAGAAGAAAAAAGAAAGAAGAAAAAAAAGGAAGAAGAAUUUUUUGUGUCUAAUAAAAAGAAAAGAAAAACGAAACAGAAAAAGAAAUGAAAAGAAAUGAAAAUAAACAAAAGAAAAAGAAAAAGAAAAUAAACAAAGGAGAACAUUUUGUAAAAAAAAGAAAAAGAAAAAGAACAAUGAACAAAAAAAGAAAAGAAAAACGAAACAGAAAAAGAAAGGAAAAGAAAUGAAAAUAAAAAAAAGAAAAAGAAAAAGAAAAUAAACAAAGGAGAACAUUUUUUAAAAAGAAAAAGAAAAAGAACAAUAAACAAAAAAAGAAAAGAAAAACGAAACAGAAAAAGAAAGGAAAAGAAAUGAAAAUAAAAAAAAGAAAAAGAAAAAGAAAAUAAACAAAGGAGAACAUUUUUUAAAAAGAAAAAGAAAAAGAAAAAGAACAAUAAACAAAAAAAGAAAAGAAAAACGAAACAGAAAAAGAAAGGAAAAGAAAUGAAAAUAAAAAAAUGGUUGGGAACCCUCGUAGGUGCGUUCGCUCGACAGUUUCGGCGUCGGCUACAACGGGCCGGUGCAUUAGCAGCAGUACAACGGGCGAGGGUUAUAAAUGUGUUGUCCUCGCCUCCCCUCUCCGUGACGCCGUCGUCUGCCGCCCCGUCUCGCGCUCUACCGCGACACCCUCUCCCACCCCUUCCUCGCCCCCGGCUUUUGCCACCGCCCUUUCGCCACCGCCACCGCCACCGCCCCCCUUCUUCACUUAAUUAAUUUGUUUUUACUACAUGUUUUCAGGACUGACAUAAUGGCGGACGAUAGAGCUGACCCGAUUAUGGACAACUAUGAUCCGGACGGUGAAGCACAUAUGUUCGGCAUCAUAAACGGCGAUAUUCAAUAUGUGCCGACCGGAGAAGAAGAAGAUGAUAUCUCUUCUUAUCUGAACCUUGACGGUGAAGAUGAAGGGCGCCGUCAGCAAGAUGAUGCCGAACAAACGUCGAUAAACGACGAUCUUCAAAUGGAAGUAGCAACCACCUCCGGCGCCGAGGUAUAUAUAUACAUUGAGCCUCUGGUGAUACAAACUAACUGAUUUGAAUAAAUAUGUGUGUACUAACGCGCGCGACUCUUUCUUAUUUUAGCCCUCGGCCGGAUCGUCGAAACAAUCGAGUACGUCGUCAAAGCGUGGCGCAACCAAGACGAUGAAACAAGGAGAAACAUGCACCAUCGAGGUUGUCGACAGUGCAACCGGCAGGCCGCUGGAGCCCCGCAAGAACGCCACCAAGUUUGUCAGCCAAUGCGGAGCCAUUGUUAGAGACAACGUCUCGAUCACCGUCCAGGAGUGGAAUGAGCCAAAGAAGGCACGAAUUGAUGGUUUCACUUUUGUCGAUAAGAGAACAAAAAAAGAUUGCUUCAAGAAGCUUAUGGAACAUUUCGUUCUACCUCCGGAAUACAACAAAUUCGAUGAGGAGGGUAACAAGAUUGAGGAAAACAAGGAGAGGAGGAGGCUAGUCAAACAGUUCGCUCUUCAUAAGAUGGCCGACGCAUUCCGGAAAUUCAAGCAAAAUCUAGCCCACGACUUUGUCAAGCAGAACAAGACUCCGGAUUUCAAAGGACAAUAUGAGAAACUGAAAGAUGAUUGGCCAGAAUUUGUGAAGCAAAAGAAAUCGGAGCAGUUCAUUCAAAUAUCGAAAAAAAUAAGGAAAAUGCGGCUAAGAAGGAGUACAAUCAUGUUAUGGGGCCAGGAGGGUAUCGCCUUUGGGAGCCUAGGUGGGAGAAGAUGGAGAACGAGCUGAGGGCGCGAGGAAUCCGUCCAGGUACGGAGGGAUGGGACCCAAGGGCCAAAAGCUGGUGGUACGGGCAUGGGGGAACGCUGAACCCGGAGACAGGGGAGUGUGUUUACCGGGGCAAAUUAAUUAAACCCACCCAAGCCCUUAUUAACGCAAUGAGGGAUGCUCAACAGGGGAAGAUCAAGUUCAACAGAGAGAACGACGCGCUGACAAAAGCCCUCGGGAAUCCUGAACACGGAGGACGUGUACGAGGCAUGGGGCACAUUCCGUGGAAAAUAGGGUUCCCCCAGAACGAUGACCCGUACGGUUACAGAAGCCGUAAGAGAAAGAUGGAUCAGGAAGCAGAUGUUGUGGCGCGGUUGGCAUCGGAAAUGGAGGUGAUGAAGAAAACCAUGAGUGUACUAGUAGCCGAAAGAGAUGCAGCUCGGGUGCAGCAUGAAGAUCAUCCAGCGGAUCUCGGAAGCCAGCAGCGGAGAAGCAGCGUGGCUUCCACGGAGGCCCCACCGGAGCCUCUGGUGGUCCAAAUUACUGCACCGGAGCCUCUGGUGGUCGAAAUUACUUCAUCGGAGCCUCCUCGCUACCCCGUGGACGAUAUAAAGGAGAUGAAAGAAUGUCAUCUGUAUUAUCCUAUCGGGAACAUGUCCAUGAAGGUAGCCAUCGGCAGUGCUUUACCAUGUUUACCUGGAGCACUCCACCACAACAACCCCAUUCAAGAUGGCUAUGCUCGUGUCACGGUGGAGGACAUAGUCCAAGGGUUUGAGGACCUGGAGAUUGACAUUGCUACACCUGAAGGGGAGAAAAGACUUGGAGAUGUCAAGCGCCAUUUCAUUCUAUGGCAAAAGAAGUUUAUCAAGUUUCCAGGCGAGGCGCCAAGGACAACAAGUCCACCCCCCUACGGUGGUGGUGGUGGCGGUGGCGGUGGUGGUGGUGGUGGUGGUGGUGUGCCUUGCGCAAGACUAAACUCAGGUGUCUCGCAGUAGGAGAAUAANNNNNNNNNNNNNNNNNNNNNNNNNNNNNNNNNNNNNNNNNNNNNNNNNNAAUCGCGCCUAUUGCGGCGCGUAUUCGCCCUUCCCUCCGGCAAGAAGCAGAAGCAGUCCUGGAUUAUUAACCCGGACCCUUAUGUACCUAAGACCACAAAGGUACCGGAGCCAUCACUGAAGCCUCUCCCCACAAGGCCUUGGGAACGUAGUGCCGAGGAAGUCGACGCGGCCGCGGCUGCUGAUUUGGAGAAAUGGAAGGCGGACUGCAAGAAGAAAACAGAGCCCGAGCCCAAGCCAGUAUUUUCUGAUGAGCAAAAGAAGUGGGCUAAGUCAUUUUUGAGCACACCGUCCCAAGCCGCGAAGAAUCUGCCUAACGACUAUGCACGUGAACUUCGCAGGCAGGCACUCAUGUUCAAGGAGAACAAAGAGCGGGAGAAGGCCGAAAGUAAAAAAAGCGGGAAACAAGUUGCCCAGCUCGGGGAACAAACUAAACAAUCGAUUGCCCCGCUUAUAGUGGAAGCCUUCUGUCCGGAUGACCCCGAGAUCAUACAAGCUGCGGCAGCACAGGGAUUGACUGUAACGAGUGCCAGAGAACAAGCGGCCAACUUAGGUAUUACUCUUCGUGAACUGUUAGGCCUUGAUGAGGCGCCAGUGAAGGAGGUAGUAAUUACAUAUGUCAAGAAUGGGCCUCUCGUCGAGCCUGCGGAGGAAAAGGAUCUACCUCCACAAAUGAAAGGUCUGCUGAAAUGGUACAAGGGUUACAUAAAAAAUAAAAACGCCAAAGAAUAUAUUUAUGCGGAAGUUAGACAUGAGCAUCACUUCAAACAUUACUAUGUACAAAUUGAACUGAGUGAAUUGUUCCAGCUUUUCAAUCUGCGCGAGCUCGAUAAAUCUAUCAUCAGUUGCUACGUUCUGUAAGUGAUUUAUUAAUUUCUACCCCAUCUCGUUCAUAUUGCCUGCACUAUAUAUAUGUCCUAACUAUAUUGUUGUGUCCGCUAUUAUACAUGCAGAAUGAAGAUUAAGGAAUGCAGAGUAAGGAACAUCCAUGAUGUUGGGUUCAUUGACCCACACAUCGUUAAUGGACAUGUGUUGGAGCGUUACCCCGCCGACGUGGAGGCAGACCUGUGGCAGUUUCUUACAAAGCAGGAACUCAAAAGUGAUAUUCUAUUUCCUUACCAUUUUGAGUGAGUGUUUCUGUCUUGAGCACAUUCUCUUUUGUUUACUCCAUGCAUGGUAUGUGGCCGGCUAAUCGAUGAGUUAUGCAUGACGUACUGUGCAUGUAUCGUGUCCGCAGGUUCCACUGGAUUCUGCUAGUAAUUAAAGUUAACACCUCAGAAUGUCUCGUCCACGACUCUGUGAAUAUGGAUCCAAAGCUUUGGGGCGGCAUGAGAAGAAUGCUGCAGAAGUAAUUAUUUUCAUUCAUUUGCGCUCUAUAUCGAUCGGCCUAUUUCGUUCAUUUCCUAAUAUCAAGUAACUAAUUAAUAACUCUCUUGUUCAUUUAAUUUUCUUUGCCUCGUAGGGUUUGGAGACGGUUCGUAGAUACAAAGGUCGGUGAAUUCAAAAAAGAGCUAGAAUUCAAAAUGUUAAAGGCUAAGAAUGCUGGGGAUAUUCAGCCACCGGAGACCAAUCUAUGUGGAUACUAUGUCUGUGAGAUGAUCCGGAGAUACACCUCUGAGCGGGUUCCGAGUGAUACCAAUGCUAAGAGGAAUAACCUCCGGUGGAUGCUUAGUCCAGAAGCUCGCUUCCGACCACUUCAAGAGGAACUAGCUGGAUGGUUCAGCAGGGAAGUCCUCCAUCCUAAAGGAGAACACUAUUACGAGGACGUAGAACUUUAUAUGCAUUAAAUCAUGUAUGGAAACUUGUUCAAAAUUGUAUAUGGUCAUCCGAUGAUAUUGAAUAUAUAUUGUAUAUUCCUCUUGAAUUCUUUUUGGUUCUAAUUUCAAAUUUAUUUGAAAUUGUACAUUCAUAUGCAUGUAUGUAGUACCGUAGAAUAUAUGAAACUCCUUCAAAAUUAAAAUAAAGCACAAAAGAAAUAAAACAAUACAAAUUAAACAGAAAACAGGUUUAAGGGGGGGAGGUUUAGGGGGGGGGGGGGGCUAAAACCCUAAACCUGCGGCGGCCUUUAGUCGCGGUUGGCCAGAAGAACCGCGACUAAAGGUCCUCCGCCCCGACGGCCACCUGGCGCCCACGUGGACGGGCCUUUAGUCGCGGUUCUUAAGCAACCGCGACUAAAGGGGGGGGCCUUUAGUCGCGCCCGGUCGGUCGCGGUUGCGCAACCGCGACUAAUGGCAGUUGCGAACCGCGACCAAAGGCCUUUUUUCCACCAGUGUUACUUAGUGCAUGCCGUUUGGUAAAAAUGCACAAGUGCAAUAUACAUCACUAAAUAGUGAUGGACCUAAAGACUUCCCUUAGAGAAGGUACAACCUGGACAAAUCCCACUCAGGCUACGUCUCAGAAAAGAAUGAAUUGAUUAUUACUCCCUCCGCCCCAUAGUAUAAUAUAAGUGCGUUUUUGACAUUGAAACUCUGCCGGAGGAUUGAAGAAGUUGUUCUUUGCUGAGAGUCACACAUGCAGACGCAGUUUGCACGCGGACAUUAAUUAUUACUCCACUUGUUUCCUCUCACGCGUUUUUUCUUGAAGAAACUAGCAUUAGUGAAACGACACGUCUCAUUGACGCGCAGUCGUCCUUGCUUCCCCGUAAGUGGACCGGAUGCAUGUGCGUUUUUGCAUGCGGAAGUGACGGUCACUUACAAACUAAGGUUACCAACAAGCUAUAUAUGUAUAUAUACAGACACAUGCAAGCAUGAAGCAUCCGUCCACAAUUAAAACAGAGAGAUCCACCAACUAUGUUGAAGCCGGUGACAUCAUCUUCCUCGUCCGCACGAUGCGGGGCGAUCGUCGCAGCUGCACUAAUCCUGUGUGCCUUGCAGGUCGAGCUUGUCCAGGGAGGUAACCAGCCAUGCAUAGACGGAUGACAGUGAAUAUCCAUGACUUCACAACUUUCUGAUGUGGUUGAUAUAGACUACAGUACGUAUCACGUACGUGCGAACCGAUGGAUAUCUCUUUAUGUGUUUGCAGGUGGAAGGCCGUUCCGGGAACCUCCGGCUCCUUUUUCAAACUGGAGUAGACAUGCCUGCUAUAGGAAUAAGCCCCCUUGCGACCGCCGCUUCCUCCGCUUCCUGCCACCGCCGCUUCCUCCAACCCCUCCAGUAGAUAUACCUCCUGUAGAUGGAAGAACGUUGGGGGCGCCUUGGCCUCCCACAGCUCACUAGGGUCACAACCACCGCUGUCCCUUGGGGCAGGUACCCCUUGUGCGACCCCAACCCAUCGCCGUCGUCGCCGCUUCCUCCUACUCCAGCAGUUGCAAGAGACGCAGCUCCUGCUGGAAGCCAUAGAUAGUGCCAGUUCCGUGGCUUAUGCAAAAGUUGUAGUGACAAUAAGCCUUGACAAGUGUGGUUAAAAUUAGCCAAUAAGAACAAGCCAUCCAGUUCUUUUCAGCUUAUCGUCUUUAGCUUAUAAUCUGAUAUACCCGAAAAAGCCUGUAAUAUCCCUAUACUGUAAAUCUGUUAUUUUUAAAUGAUAUUUUAGUAUUUCGUAGUGUUUUGCCACACGGAUAACUUAAAAUACGUAGAUAAUAGAAUAUCGUCUCGUACCGCACCUCAUGUUCUAUAUUCUGGAGGUUUGGUACAUACGUCUUCUUAAGUACACGUCCAUCAAUUCCAAAUUCGGAAAUCUAGUUCGAUACAUCCAAAUUUGACACUAUUGUACAAUUCAAAUUCAAAAUAUUCAAAUAAAAUCGAAUGGUAGUACUUUUUCUCAGGAAGCAGCGGCGGAAGAGCCGGCAACUGGCUAAUUUCCGUAAUUCUCGGCCGGAAAAAAAUCUUUGCUCCACUGUAUGUUUUCCUUCAUCAGUUUAUUUAGACUACAACUUGAUUUGAAACUAUUGAGAGAGAGAGAGAGAAGGGGAGAGAGAGAGAGGAGUAAGUGCAUUGUUUAUGACUCAUUAUUUUUUCUGGAGGGGUUUACAAUUUAGUAGCUCCCAUAAAAAUAUAUUUACAUCAUGGGUCCUAUCUAUUGAGAUUUUCAGAUUUCUUGAAAAUACAAAAAAAGAUGGCUCCGAGUUGAAAGUAGUGUGAAUCGAAUCUCAAAACGUCAUGGUGGCAGUGAAUAUGUACACAUACAUUUUCAUUUUAAAAGAAAAAAUAUAACCAAUAAGUCAAAAUAAAAAGUAUUUCUUAUAUUUUUUAAAUAAUUAUAAUGACAGAUUUUGCCGAAUAGUUAUUAAAAGUUAUUUUGUUAAUGGGUCAUUUAUAUUGACAUGACCAUUUGGUCAAAAGUCAUGAGUGCAUUGUACUAUUAUAUAUGAGGAAACCAGCACUGGGAAAAAGUGAAAAUAUAAAGACACUUCUGGAGAAAUUUAAGCAGGUAACCACUUGGAAAAAGCAUGCCUCUGACCUGAUUGUUGACGAAGAGUGUAUAUUAAGAAACACGAGUGGCCAAGAACAGAUCACACCAAAAUCUUGUGCGUCGUCCCAACAUUUCCACGUAAAAACUAAGAAGCGGGAAAGAGGAUGUCUGAAAAGCGCUGCGACAUGAUCAUGGAGCGUCCUUCUUCCUACAACGCGAGUAGUGCUGCUCUCCUGCUGGCUAUCCUUCUAUGCUGUGCCUUAGUGUGCUCGGCCGCGGCACCCCUGGUAAAGUACUGACUGUAUCCUUCUCCUUCUACCCUCGAAUAUAUAGAAAUCAGUAAUUAUCUCAAAGUUUGACCAAGUUUGUGCAAAAAUAUAUUAGUAUUUGUGAUACCAAAUAGGAGUAUGAUGAAAAUAUAUGUUAUCAUAAAUCAAAUGCUACUAAUUUGAUGGCAUAAAUGUUGGUGUACUAUUGUAUAAAUACAGUCAAACAUAAAAAAAAGUUUAACUUUCCAACAAAGUUGGAAGUACACUCUUGAAAGAACAGAGGGGGUAUGUUCGUACUUACGCCGAGCUUGAUUUUUACGUGGAUCUUGUUGUCCUGGACGGACUGUGUUGCUGCGCUCACCACUUGUGCAUGAGGAUUAAACCAACUCACAAAACCUGAAGCUGCAACCGACAAUGUGCGAUCCAGCCCCUUGUUGUUGUUGUUGUUGUUGUUUGUUGAUGAUGUUGUUGUUGUUGUUGUUGUGAGCGCUCAACAUGUUUAGCAUGCAAUUAAUAUCAUACCAAAUAUCAACAUCUGUGCUAAUCACAUAAUUAACAUGUAUUUUUAGGAACAAUUAACGUGUUAUUGUAUGUAAAGUGAUUUUUACAAUAGAUAUAGUAAGGAUAUUUCGAAAUCCAACCGGAAGUUAGAAAAACACAAAUACAAAAUUACUUGGACGUAUGAUCACUACCUGGUCAAUGUUGGCAGCAAUUUAUUGUUUGGUGUAACUUUUAUAUUUAUUUCUUCAUAUGAAAAUAUUGUGCUUCAAUUUUUCAAAAGGUCAUCACGGGUUUAAAUAUGUUUUCCAGUGCAAAAAAUGUGCUCAUACAACUUCUAUAAAAAAAUUAAUACAAUUAAAACAUGUUCAUGAUUUUUUUAAAUGUUCAGACCAUGUAAAAAAUUGAUGGUAUUCAGACCAAAAGUUUUUGCAUCAUUCAUAUCUACGUUUGUGACAUUUAAGAAAAAUGUCAAUUUUUAGCAUUUUUUAUACAAUGUAAAAACAACUAUUCGCAUAAUUUAGGAAAAAAAUGUCCGUACCAUACGAAAUAUUUUGCGUGACAUUUUAAAAAAUGUUCAUGGCUUCCAAGAUAUGUCUGCAUCAUUUGAAAAAUAAAUAUUUAUGGGUUAGUGGAAAAUAAUCGACGUGUAUCAAAAAAAAUGUUCCAUGUUUAUAUGGAAAAAGGAAAACAUGUACCAGAAAAAGUAGACAUGCAUAGAAAAAUAUAAAAAUAAAAUAGAAAAGAAUAAAGAGAAAACUAAAAAAUAAAACCAACAAAAAUUUAAAAGCAAAAAAGGAAGAGAAAAACACAAAUGAAAGACAUGGAAGAAAAAAAAACAC
rnacentral:lncRNA from 1 species